rnacentral:rRNA from 1 species
GACGAACGCUGGCGGUGUGCUUAACACAUGCAAGUCGAACGGAAAGGCCCUGCUUUUGUGGGGUGCUCGAGUGGCGAACGGGUGAGUAACACGUGAGUAACCUGCCCUUGACUUUGGGAUAACUUCAGGAAACUGGGGCUAAUACCGGAUAGGAGCUCCUGCUGCAUGGUGGGGGUUGGAAAGUUUCGGCGGGUGGGGAUGGACGCGCGGCUUAUCAGCUUGUUGGUGGGGUAGUGGCUUACCAAGGCUUUGACGGGUAGCCGGCCUGAGAGGGUGACCGGCCACAUUGGGACUGAGAUACGGCCCAGACUCCUACGGGAGGCAGCAGUGGGGAAUAUUGCACAAUGGGCGGAAGCCUGAUGCAGCAACGCCGCGUGCGGGAUGACGGCCUUCGGGUUGUAAACCGCUUUCGCCUGUGACGAAGCGUGAGUGACGGUAAUGGGUAAAGAAGCACCGGCUAACUACGUG